rnacentral:rRNA from 1 species
GAUGAACGCUAGCGGCAGGCUUAACACAUGCAAGUCGAGGGGUAGGUUACUUCGGUAAUUGAGACCGGCGCACGGGUGCGUAACGCGUAUACAAUCUACCUUUUACAGAGGGAUAGCCCAGAGAAAUUUGGAUUAAUACCUCAUAGUAUUUUUGAAUCGCAUGAUUUGAUUAUUAAAGUUCCAACGGUAAAAGAUGAGUAUGCGUCCCAUUAGCUAGAUGGUAAGGUAACGGCUUACCAUGGCUACGAUGGGUAGGGGUUCUGAGAGGGAGAUCCCCCCACACUGGUACUGAGACACGGACCAGACUCCUACGGGAGGCAGCAGUGAGGAAUAUUGGACAAUGGGCGCAAGCCUGAUCCAGCCAUGCCGCGUGCAGGAAGAAGGUCCUAUGGAUUGUAAACUGCUUUUAUACAAGAAGAAACACUCCCUCGUGAGGGAACUUGACGGUACUGUAUGAAUAAGGACCGGCUAACUCCGUGCCAGCAGCCGCGGU